rnacentral:rRNA from 1 species
CGCGGUGCAUUAGCUAGUUGGUGAGGUAACGGCUCACCAAGGCCACGAUGCAUAGCCGACCUGAGAGGGUGAUCGGCCACAUUGGGACUGAGACACGGCCCAAACUCCUACGGGAGGCAGCAGUAGGGAAUCUUCGGCAAUGGACGAAAGUCUGACCGAGCAACGCCGCGUGAGUGAAGAAGGUUUUCGGAUCGUAAAACUCUGUUGUUAGAGAAGAACAAGGAUGAGAGUAACUGUUCAUCCCUUGACGGUAUCUAACCAGAAAGCCACGGCUAACUACGUGCCAGCAGCCGCGGUAAUACGUAGGUGGCAAGCGUUGUCCGGAUUUAU